GCCAGUUUCAAGUUGAGAUGGCAAAAAGAGGUGAAAGCCACCAUAGUAUCUAACCUAUAAGGAUUCGUAAUGAUGUAUUCUGAAACAAAUUUGUUGAAUAACAUUAAGGCUCGGUUGUACAUGCGUCUGGUGUUUGGGGAAAGUGAGGCCUGUGCUAGUGCCCUCCCGUGCUCCAUGAGUAAUUUUAGUCCAGGAUGAGGUGUCUGAACAGCGGCGCCUUUCUUGGCUGUUCCUCUGCUGUUGGGUGUAGCUGUCUGAAAACCUGUAAUUUUGAACAGGAUAGUGUGUCAGCUGCUGAAUUAUGGUGACCUGGCACGUGUAUGCAAGUCAGGAAAAAAAAAAAAAUUUUUUGUGUGGCU